AGGAUAACUUCGGGAAACCGGAGCUAAUACCGGAUAAUAUUUUGAACCGCAUGGUUCAAAAGUGAAAGACGGUCUUGCUGUCACUUAUAGAUGGAUCCGCGCUGCAUUAGCUAGUUGGUAAGGUAACGGCUUACCAAGGCAACGAUGCAUAGCCGACCUGAGAGGGUGAUCGGCCACACUGGAACUGAGACACGGUCCAGACUCCUACGGGGAGGCAGCAGA
rnacentral:rRNA from 1 species